UAAAGGAGGGAAGGAUAUAAGAGAGGAGGAGGAGAGGAUAUGGAAGGAGGGAGAUGGAUAGAUAGAUAGACAGAUGGACGGGUGUGUUGUGCAUCGUGGCAAGGGGUAAACGGCCUCCCAACAGCCUAGACGCGUCGUGACCUAUAGGAGGGAGAGAAAGAGAGGGAAGCGCGGUAAGCGUGGUGAGAGGUUGGCCGAGAGGGACAGGGACGGAUAACGGAUAACGUGGUCCCGGCAAGAAAGAGAGGAGGGAUAGAGAGUUUAGAGAACAGGUGCGCGACCAUUGACCGCCGCCUUUGGUUACCCACUGAAUUAUCAUAUAUGCGUCGGCGAUCGAUCGAUUUAAUCGCGCCGAUUACCGGCCAACCACGCACCGUGCGGGGUUAGGUCAAUUAAGAUGACUUACCGGAUAAUGAUACGUUCGGGGGGUGAACUCUCGGGAUGGAGAAAGCUCGAAGAACGGCGAGCGCUCGGCCGAGAUAC